rnacentral:rRNA from 1 species
CAGUCGCCGCGGUAAUACGUAGGGUGCGAGCGUUAAUCGGAAUUACUGGGCGUAAAGCGUGCGCAGGCGGUUCGUUAAGACAGAUGUGAAAUCCCCGGGCUUAACCUGGGAACUGCAUUUGUGACUGGCGAGCUAGAGUAUGGCAGAGGGGGGUAGAAUUCCACGUGUAGCAGUGAAAUGCGUAGAGAUGUGGAGGAAUACCGAUGGCGAAGGCAGCCCCCUGGGCCAAUACUGACGCUAAUGCACGAAAGCGUGGGGAGCAAACAGGAUUAGAUACCCCUGUAGUCCCUGUCUCUUAUAC